UCAGCGACAGGACAGAGGAAUCAUCCGCAGUACAGUACUUCCAGUUCUAUGGCUACCUCUCCCAGCAGCAGAACAUGAUGCAGGACUACGUCAGGACAGGAACCUAUCAGAGGGCCAUCCUCCAGAACCACACUGACUUCAAGGACAAGGUGGUGUUGGAUGUGGGCUGUGGUUCAGGGAUUCUGUCGUUCUUUGCUGCUCAGGCUGGGGCCAGGAAGGUCUACGCUGUGGAGGCCAGCACCAUGGCCCAGCAUGC